rnacentral:rRNA from 1 species
UGAACGCUACGGGAUGCUUCCACAUGCUUUAUCGAACGGCAGCACGGACUUCGGUCUGGUGUGCGAGUGGCGAACGGGUGAGUAAUGUAUCGGAACGUGCCCAGUAGCGGGGUGAUAACUACGCGAAAGCGUAGCUAAUACCGCAUACGCCCUACGGGGGAAAGCAGUGGAUCGUAAGACCUUGCACUAUUGGAGCGGCCGAUAUCGGAUUAGCUAGUUGGUGGGGUAACGGCUCACCAAGGCGACGAUCCGUAGCUGGUUUGAGAGGACGACCAGCCACACUGGGACUGAGACACGGCCCAGACUCCUACGGGAGGCAGCAGUGGGGAAUUUUGGACAAUGGGGGAAACCCUGAUCCAGCCAUCCCGCGUGUGCGAUGAAGGCCUUCGGGUUGUAAAGCACUUUUGGCAGGGAAGAAACGUCAUGGGUUAAUACCCCGUGAAACUGACGGUACCUGCAGAAUAAGCACCGGCUAACUACGUGCCAGCAGCCGCGGUAAU